UCCCUGGCAAGUGAGGCUUCCUCGAGUCCAGGAACCUACUGCCAGCCGGGCCAGGGCAGUAGCCAGAGCUGGAGCGCUUCCAGGGGCUCGCGCGCCACUUGCCCCCCAACGGAGGCCCGGAAGGCGCAGUACGGCCCGCGCCCCGCCUCCGCCGGCGCCCCCUCGCGCCCCGGGUGGGCCCUGCAGGGCGGCGCGGCCCGGAGGCGGCGGGGAAGGCGGGGCGCCGAGGCCGGGCGGGCCGGGGCGGCGCCGAGCCGGGCCGGAGCAGGGCGCAGGGUGCUGGGCGGCCCGGCCGGGGUCGUGGGGGGGAAGAUGGCGAGCGUGGGGCUGCAGUUCCAGGCCAGCGCCGGGGACGCGGACCCCCAGAGCCGGCCCCUGCUGCUGUUGGGCCAGCUGCAACACCUGCACCGCGUGCCCUGGAGCCACGUCCGCGGGAAGCUGCAGCCCCGGGUCACCGAGGAGCUCUGGCAGGCAGCUCUGGCCACGCUCAACCCCAACCCCACAGACAGCUGUCCUCUCUACCUGAACUGCGCCACAGUGGCAGCUCUGCCUUCUAGGGUGAGCCGGCAUAACAGCCCGUCCGCAGCCCACUUCAUCACCAGGCUCGUGAGAACCUGCCUGCCUCCUGGAACCCACCGGUGUAUCCUGAUGGUCUGCGAACAGACUGAGGUUUUUGCCUCUGCCUGUGCCUUGGCACGGGCCUUCCCACUCUUCACACACCGCUCAGGGGCAUCCCGGCGCGCAGAGAAGAGGACAGUCAUGGUGGAGUUCUUCCUGGUGGGACAAGACAAUGGCCCAGUGGAAGUGUCCACCUUGCAAUGUUUAACCAAUGCUACAGAAGGUGUCCGACUAGCAGCUCGCAUUGUGGACACGCCGUGCAAUGAGAUGAACACAGACAUCUUCCUUGAGGAGAUUAUCCAAGUUGGAAAGGAGCUGGGUAUCACCCCCACCAUCAUCCGCGAUGAGCAGCUAAAGACCAAAGGAUUUGGAGGAAUCUAUGGGGUUGGCAAAGCUGCCCUCCAUCCACCCGCUCUGGCCAUCCUUAGCCACACCCCUGAUGGGGCCACACAGACCAUUGCCUGGGUGGGCAAGGGCAUCGUCUAUGACACCGGCGGUCUCAGCAUCAAAGGAAAGUGGAGCUUAGCAAGCUUACUGGGUAAGAAGAGCUGACUCGGGGUGCUUGCUGAAGGUUCUCUGAAGGGAACAGCCAUGGGCGCACGUGUUUGCAGAAGGCCUUUACUCCUGUUGCCCUGCCAUCUAAGACAUGCUGGCAAGGAAAUGUCCUGCAGGGUUUCAAAGAUAACCUCCAUGCUGUGUUCUGCUUGGCCGAGAAUGCAGUUGGACCCAAUGCCACCAGGCCGGAUGACAUUCACCUGCUGUACUCGGGGAAGACCGUAGAGAUCAACAACACGGAUGCUGAGGGCAGGCUGGUGCUGGCAGACGGGGUGUCUUACGCUUGCAAAGACCUGGGGGCUGACAUCAUCGUGGACAUGGCCACCCUGACAGGGGCACAAGGCAUUGCCACAGGGAAGUACCAUGCAGCCGUGCUCACCAACAGCGCCGAGUGGGAGGCGGCCUGCGUGAAGGCUGGCCGGAAGUGCGGGGACCUGGUCCACCCGCUAGUCUACUGCCCUGAGCUGCACUUCAGCGAAUUCACCUCGGCUGUGGCUGACAUGAAGAACUCCGUGGCGGACCGAGACAACAGCCCCAGCUCCUGUGCUGGCCUCUUCAUUGCUUCACACAUCGGGUUUGACUGGCCCGGGGUCUGGGUCCACCUGGACAUCGCUGCUCCAGUGCAUGCUGGCGAGCGAGCCACAGGCUUUGGGGUGGCUCUCCUACUGGCUCUUUUUGGCCGUGCCUCCGAGGACCCGCUGCUGAACCUGGUAUCCCCGCUGGACUGUGAGGUGGAUGCCCAGGAAGGCGACAACAUGGGGCGUGACUCCAAGAGACGGAGGCUCGUGUGAGGGCUACUUCCCAGCUGGUGACACAGGGUUCCUUACCUCAUUUUGCACUGACUGAUUUUAAGCAAUUGAAAGAUUAACUAACUCUUAAGAUGAGUUUGGCUUCUCCUUCCGUGCCCAGUGGUGACAGGAGUGAGCCAUUCUUCUCUUAGAAGCAGCUUAGGGGCUUGGUGGGGUCUGGAGAAAAUUGUCACAGACCCCAUAGGUCUCCAUCUGUAAGCUCUGUCCCUUGUCCUCCACCCUGGUCUUUAGAGCCACCUCAGGUCACCCUCUGUAGUGAGUGUACUUCCUGACCCAGGCCCUUGCUCAAGCUGGGGCUCCCUGGGGUGUCUAGCCAGCCCUGGGUAGAUGUGACUGGCUGUUAGGGACCCCAUUCUGUGAAGCAGGAGACCCUCACAGCUCCCACCAACCCCCAGUUCACUUGAAGUUGAAUUAAAUAUGGCCACAACAUAA